rnacentral:rRNA from 1 species
UGGGGAAUUUUGGACAAUGGGCGAAAGCCUGAUCCAGCAAUGCCGCGUGCGUGAAGAAGGCCUUCGGGUUGUAAAGCACUUUUGUCCGGAAAGAAAUCCUUGGCUCUAAUACAGUCGGGGGAUGACGGUACCGGAAGAAUAAGCACCGGCUAACUACGUGCCAGCAGCCGCGGUAAUACGUAGGGUGCAAGCGUUAACCGGAAUUACUGGGCGUAAAGCGUGCGCAGGCGGUUUGCUAAGACCGAUGUGAAAUCCCCGGGCUCAACCUGGGAACUGCAUUGGUGACUGGCAGGCUAGAGUAUGGCAGAGGGGGGUAGAAUUCCACGUGUAGCAGUGAAAUGCGUAGAGAUGUGGAGGAAUACCGAUGGCGAAGGCAGCCCCCUGGGCCAAUACUGACGCUCAUGCACGAAAGCGUGGGGAGCAAACAGGAUUAGAUACCCUGGUAGUCCACGCCCUAAACGAUGUCAACUAGUUGUUGGGGAUUCAUUUCCUUAGUAACGUAGCUAACGCGUGAAGUUGACCGCCCGGGGAGUACGGUCGCAAGAUUAAAACUCAAAUGAAUUGAC